rnacentral:Y_RNA from 1 species
GGCUGGACUGAGUGCAGUGGUGUUUACAACUAAUUGAUCACAACAGUUCUAGAUUCCUGGGGUCCUUCUCUAUGCCCACUGCUUCACUUGUCUAGCCUUUA